rnacentral:lncRNA from 1 species
GUCCUAUAAGUCAUAUGUAAUCAAUACUAUUAAAGCCACUGUAAAAGGAAAAUAUAUACAUAAUUAAAUCUCUUCAAUAUUUUAAGUAGAAAAAGAAACAAAUAAUGUCUUUUUUAAUGGCCAUGUCCAUUCUCCGGUGAUGGUCAGAUCUGGUUGGAGGAAGGAAGAGGGAGGAUGGUAGUGUAGGUGAUCGGUGGUGGCCUGAGUUGGUUAUGGACGACGACUGGUUGGCAGAGAGUCCCCAGCAACGGGAAAGGGGAGUGGGGGAACGACGGCGCUGAGUUUGGGAAGGAGGGGCGGCGUCGGUGUUUCGUUGCUGUGGCGUUGAUUCCAGCGAAGGAGGGAAAGAAAAAAAAAGGUCGACGGCGCAGGUGAGGGGAGAAGAGAUAGCACCAAAAACAGAUCUGGGAAAGGAUAUGGAGGCGGUACCUGCUCGGGGUUGGCUGGUAUCACCGGAAAGUGGGGAAGGAAAAGGUGGUAGCGAUGGCUGUCUCGCUGGUGACCAAUUUCUGGCAUGAAAAAUAAAGUUUCCGGCGACUUAUCGUUGAAAAAAUAUAAAUAAAAAAAAUCAAGUUUUCUUAUCUUUUUUUUUACUGGCUUUCCAUCCCUCUCGUCUAUCCCCGAUUCUCACUGAUUUUUCUCUGAUUGGUUUCUACCUCGUAUCAUUUUUUAUUCAUCUGAUUUUUAUUCAAUUUCUAUGUUGCAUACAGAUAUGUGUGUACAGUAUAUGACUAAACUGUGAUUUUUAUUUUAAACAACAUGAUGUGACUGUGAAUGUAAAAUUUUCUCCGUGUACAAAUAUAUUGAAAUUCAAUAUCAUAAUUGUAUGCCAUAUAGUAAUAACAAUUUACAUAAUUAUUAAACUAGACAUUCUAGAUAAUGCAUAAAAAUUACUUGGAUAUUCUCAUUCAUACUUUUCUACAAUAAACUUACAACAUAGAUGAUUUAGAUUCAAAUAAAAACCUGUAAUUAAUUCAAACGCAAUAAUGAAGCAAGGAAAUAGUCG